rnacentral:lncRNA from 1 species
CACUACACACAGGUCGUUUGGGCUAACUCGGUGCGUCUUGGAUGUGCCAAAGUGACAUGUGAUAACGGAGGCACUUUCAUCACUUGCAACUAUGAUCCCCCUGGCAACUUUGUUGGUGAAAGACCCUACAAACUGUAGCUGCUAUCUACCACUUUACAUAUUAUGAAUAACCAUGCAACAAUAAUAACACCAUCAAUUUAGGAGAUCCUACACUUCAAAUUCAUGCAUGUAAUAAUAUAUAUACGUAUUAAUACUCAAUAAAAAUAAAGGAUGUUCCUUGUGUGUUUUUAUCGGAUGACAAAGUUCAUAAUUCUUAUUUUUUAUUUUUUUAUUUUUUUUUAUAUUGAAAAAAAGAUUUAAUUAAAAAUUAUUCUUAACUCGAUCAUAACUGGAUUAAAAAUGUUAAAAUUUGAUUGAAUUCGAUCGAUCAAUUCAUUUAACCAUGAGUUGGGUUGUGUUAAUUUUUUUUCAAAUUACGUAAUCUGACUUUCAUAUAUAAUUUAUCAACUCAAUAAAUUUUAUCGGAUUGAUUCACUAAUCAUCAGCCCCAGUUUUGUAGUUAUUAAAUAUUUUUUUACAAAUAAUAAAAAGAUUUAUAAGAGAAUAUAGUAGGAGAACUUAGCAUUGCUUUUUAAUUAAUUGGAACGAUAGCUGGUCAUUUUAACGAUUUAUUCUGCGCUGUUGCAACUUAAAAUAACUCGAUUUGAAAAGAGCAUAUAUAUUACAGAUUGGAGAUAAUAACAAUAUUAUACUGUCAAACUCCUACCUACCAAAAAAACUGUUGUCAAACUCAUACCCGAUUUGAAGUCCAUAUAUUUUUGGAGCCCAAAAGUAGAUGAAUUGGUCAUACUAUUGGAUUGGGCUUCUCUGUAUACUUCUAUGAGCUGUUGUUAACUUGAGGUGUAGGAAGCAACAACCACUUUUAUGUGUUUUUAACUAAUGCUGCACCAGCCAGGGCAGAAUACUUGCUGAUUUUUUAUGUAAAGCAUUUAGUUCAUAACUCACCAUGGUUCAUGUUGCUUGGAGCAUCAAGACUGAUUCUAGAAGUGGAGAUAACAGGAAGGGGAACUUUCCAAGAUACAUAUAUGUUAAUCCAAAUAGUUUCAAUCUUAUCAUUUGAUUGUUCAUCAUCAUUCAAAAAUUAAAAUUGUUUCUAUAACUGGUUUGCCAAGAGAAAGAGCAAUAACUUGAAUUUAAGAAUCUAAACCUCUUUAUAACUCUAAUUCUUUUUUAAGAGUUUUAGAGAAGAUGAAGAUUUGUAUGUAUAAGAACUAAAUUUUCAUGUCUAUUUGGAUUAAGCAUAUUUCUUUUCCAUAGAAUGGAUAAAGAAAUAUGUGCUUAAGUUUUUUUCGUAACCUAUAGACUUAGGUACGAACUUGGUAUAUACCUAAAAUGUAUUCAAGUGAAGUAUUCAAUUUAUAAAAAAAAAAGUAUAUUUGGUAUGUAAUUGAUAUGCACCCAGCGAAUACUAGAUACCGAUACGGUAUGAUUUUAAAAUUAUUCAUACUUACGACUAUAACAGUAAGUUAGACACUAUUAGUGGUGCUUUUCUUAUUUUGUUUGAAUAGAUUGCUGAAUGAAAUUUGUACAAUUUGCUUCUUCACUUUUGCACUGAUAAAUAUGCUAAGCGGAAAAAAGAUUGGAGGAGUCAACAGAAUGUAAUCUGUAUGUUUCUGCACUCAUUGGCCUAAUGGUCAACUUCUAUUUGCAUCCUAAGAUGACAGCUCAAUACUGGUAGUCUUUAAACAAUAUAUUAUAAACAUUAUCAGCCGUCUAAUUAAUUAUGGUUAGCAACAAACACUUUUUGUUCAUAGACUUGUAUAGAAGUUUAUGAUAAUUGAAAUGCAGCUGAAAAUGUACAACAGGAAAUCUUCCCCAUAAUUACCAUAAAAUCCAUGAAGUUGAGUGGUCGAUUUUUUCCUUAUAAUCCGAUAUAUGGACAUCCCAAUAAUAAUCACAAAGCCCUCAAAUAAAGACAAACAAAUAAAUAAAUAACAAGGAAGACAAAAUAAGAGAAAAGUUUAGCAACACAAAUACUCCUAAAACAUCUGUCAAAAAAACCAAAUCCCACAGAAGAAGUAAUGGAGAUUGAAUUAAAUAAUCACCAGUUGCACAUUCUUCACAUUCUAAAAGAAAUAAUAAAAUAGCGGCCAGAGUUAGAAAAACAUGAAAAGGGCCGCUGAGACAAGAGUCAUGCCAAUUAUUAAUGUUUUAGAAGAAGCAUAAGAAAUAAAAAUGUAUAAAAUCAUUACCAAAACAUUAUAUAAAAAAUAAUAUUAAAAAAGAGCCUUUACUGUAUAAAGGUAGUGACCAGAUUCUUUAUUAAAGAUAAUUAGUUUUCAAUAAAAUUUGUAAAUAUUAUAUUAACAACACGAUAACAAAAUUAUCCAUUUUAUUUUCUAUUUGAGCUUUUAAAUUUCUGAACUAUUAAAUUAAAGUAUUGAUAGUUACUAAUUAAUUGAACUCAAAUAUAAACAAAUAUUCAUAUAUCUGAUUUGAGCAUUUAUACUUAUUAAUUGAAUUCAAAUAUAAACAAAUAUAAAAUAGAUAUGCAUGUAUAAAAAAAAUAGUUCUUAAAUUUCCCAAGUAUCAUAUCUAGUCCUUAAAUAUGGCACCAUCAAUAUAUAGUUGGUCCAUAUUCCCUAACAUUACAAAAUUAAUUAUUUAACCUAAACUUCUGGCUAUUAUUAUCGAUUUGACCCCUAAAUUUGACAAUCAUAACUCAAAUUUGGUUCUUCGUAUAGAAACUAAGUUAAUUAAUUGAUGUGCAAUAAAAUUAUGAAUUAAAUUUAUUGAUGCACGCGACCAGUGGUGGAGCCAGAAAAAUUAUAAAGCCUGGGCAAAAAUUUAAAGAUAGCAAAUUCACAUUGUAUAUAAUAUGUAAAUAGUAAUCAAUCAAAAUAAAAGAAACUCGUCAUUUUGUCAACAAAAAUAUAGUUUAAAAUAAAAGAGAUAAACAUAAUCUUACAAUAGCGGGUUAAAUAAAAUUACGAGGCAAGUGUCCUUUCCGAGACUUCUUUGCGGUAAAUGUUCGAAUAAUAUCAAUAUCAUCAAGUGACUUGAAUAUCUCCCGCUCGGUGUAACAUACCAUCAAGUCAUUGAACCACACAUCGUUGAUCUUAUUGCGCAAUUUAGACUUGAUAAUCUUCAUUGCUGAAAAAGCUCUUUCAACGGAUGCUGUCGACACCGGCAAUAUCAAAGCUAGCUCAAUAAGUUUAUAAACCAAUGGAAAUACCAAAUGUUUCUCAGUUUGAACCAUCUUCAUAGCCAAACUUUGAACAUCUUCACAAGUGGAAAAAGAAGCAUUUCUUCUCACUUGAAGCACAUAAGUUUCAAGUUGAUCCCUAAUUGUUCCUCGGUCAUCAUCAGAAAAGUCUGCAUGAUAAAUAUCAGCAAGACGAGCAAGCUUAUCAACAUCAAACUUGGAGAAAGAGUUCUUGGGGUCAAGACAUGAGAAGCAAUCAAGUAUAAUGUUACUUCCUUCACUAAAGCGGUGAUCCAUCUCCACACAUAUUUUAUCAAUAGCAACAUAAAAAAUCUCUGGACGGUAAUGAUGAAGAUUAGUGAUAGUCCUCCCUUCUGCUCUUGAACGACCCCGAACUGGUAGCAACACAAAAUCCUUGGACAUCGGCAAAAAAAUUAUUCCAGCCACUCUCUCUCAUUGUGCCCAACCGAGCUUUGACAACAUCAACUAAUUCCAUGGCAUUCACAAUAUUAAGAUCUUUUCUUUGCAAUAUAUUUGAAAGCUCGUUUGUUUCCUAUGACCUGGAUCACGCACAAUCUCAUUUGGGUUAAACUCAUUAACCAUAUUAGGUGGCGGUUCUAAUUCGGCUUCUUGUUGUACAACAUUCACAUUCUCAAUACUUGCUCUAUCAACCAAAAAUCUCCUCAUCUCUGAAAUUAAAUGAUCUUAAGUUAAUACUCAAUUAACAAUUAAAAUCAUAAGAAUCAAAAUUUAAAUAAGAAUAGUUUUUCAAAAUAAAAGUAAUCUCUUAUGAUUUAUAAAGAGUAGGAACAAGCAUUAUAUUAUAUUCAAUUAAACACCAUUAUAGAAACUAAUAAAAUUAGAUAACCAAAAGAAACCUUUAUUGUAGAUAAUUUAUCUAUCAAUAAACAAAUUUACAAGUGGUAUGAUUCCACUGUAAAAGAUCUUUUUACUGCUAUUAUAAAUAAUACUAUAUGCUUAUAAUAUUACUAGAUACACACUUUAGUUUGACUUAUCAAUAAAACUUUUAUAACCAAUGAAUCUUGCUGUGUAGUAGCUUAAUCUGACACUUAGCAGCACACAAAAUGACAAAAUAUAUUAUAAAGUAAAUAUUUUUUAUAAUGAAAUUUAUUGAAGUUAUCAGUAUGAUACAAUAUUAUAAUUUCACCAUAUGAGAUUUUAGAUAAACUUGAAAAAUAUGUGACCCAUUUUCACAAUGUUAGUACUUCUAUAUAACAUAAAAUAUUUAACCUUUCAAAGACAAACCCAAAUUUUUCUUCUUCUCUGUGUCUGCUACUACUAGGCGGUGCAAAUAAACCCAAAUUUUUAAUUGUUUCAAUUUAAAAUCACAAUCAGUUGAAAUUAAACAACUAAGGGGAAGGCGGUAGUUGGAAAAGAACCAGUAGGUGUCGAUGGCGGAAGCUUUAAGGUUUCUACAGUGUUGCUGCGGUGACGAAGCUUUACUUCUUUUGUUUCUGUUACCUAUAUUUUUGCCCUUCUAAUUUUUUACUCUUACAAUUGUUUUGCCCUUCCAAUUUCUUGCCCUUUCUUUAAUAUUUUUCUUUUAAUUUUCUCCAUUUUUAUGUUUGUGUAAAAUUAUUUCAUAAUUUAUAUAUAAGUAUUUAUUUAUUAUAAAUUAUAAAUUUUAGUUAUAUAAAAUAAACAUUCACUAAAAUACUAGUAAUUGAUAAAUGUACAACUUAGAUUUAUAGAACAACAUCACAUGAUAUUUGCUUUAAGCUCAUAGUAAAUUUGUGAAAAAGCUGACCAAUAAUAAUGAAUUCAUGUGAUUGGUGUUUCUAUAGUUGUUAUUACCCUAUUGCAUGAAUUAUCGUAAUUAUUGUUUACAAAGGGUAAAUAAAUGAGAAGGAAAAUUCUACCAAGAAAAAAAAAAAAAAAAAGAGUGAAGGAUAAGAAUACACAGUCCACAAAAAGGGUUAUGCCAGCUAGUUCAACUAACUAUUUAACAUCAAGAUACUUUUUGUUGAAUCUGCGUGCUAAACAUGAUAGUUGCCCGUUUAAUUCAUUAAUAAAGAAAAAUAAUAGUACAACACCAAAAAAAAAAUAAAAAUAUUAGUAACAUAAAAUUAAAAGGGUUAGCCUGGGCAAUUGCACAGGGUAGCCGGGCCUUGAAACCGCCUAUGCACGCGACAAAGUCAAGGCCUAAAAUUGAUAGGUGACAAAAUUAGAGAUCAAAUUGUCUAAUUUCAACGUUCAAGACUAAAUUAUUGAUAGUUACUAAUUUCAAAAAUUACUUUUCAUUAUAAUUUCAGAAACUAAAAUAAAUUAUUAUUAUCAUUAUUAUUAUUAUUUAAGGAGAACAUAAAGGUUUACUGUAAUUUUUUUGAAAUAAAUUGAAAUAUGAAAUGUAAUAAUUAUUUAAACACACACACACACUCAUAAUUAUUAAAUUUUAAGUUAUUCCAUAUUCACCAAUUAAUUAAACAAUUGGUUUUAUCAAAAACUUUAACUUAACUAAAAAAUAAAAUAAAAGUGAACAAAGUUUGUACAUUUGUAGCUGUUUAAAUUUUUUUUGUACCAAAUAGUAUUUGUAAUGUGAAAAAAUAUAUACGAAAGACAUCCAAGUAUAAGGGAGAUUUAUUUUUUUUCGUAAUAGGAAAUUUUGAGUUAUAGAAUGUAAAAACUUAGCUGCUUCUUGACCAAGCUUAAUGAAUUAUAAAUCCUUUUAUUGAGAAAUAGUUUUACAUAUAAAAAAUUAGGGAGAUGAAAAUAUGGAAAACGCUGUAAAAGAAAAUUUGUAAUUUUAUACAUUUUUAUUUCUUAUGCUUCUUCUAUUAUUGUUUUUUCUAUCUCUCUUUACUUUUCUUAUCUCAAUUCACAUUUUGUCUCUCUCUCUCUCUCUUUCUGUAACUCUCUUUAUCACUCAAGAAUCAAUAUAGAUAUGUAAUUCCCAAAAAAAAUAUAGAAUCAUUAUUUUUCAUAAUUUUUUAUAAGUCAUCCUCUCCAUUUUUUCCAAAUAAUUAUUAAUUAAUUAAAAAUUAAAGAAAUAUUAUUUCAUGAAGUUUUUAUUUUUUAUUUUUCAUAUCAUGAAUAUAUUAUUCUUAUUAUUACAAAAUUUAAGAUUAAUUAUAUUUUUAAAACUUUAACAUUAGAAUAAGAUAUAAUAAAGAUUUUUUAUCUUCAGAAUUGCUUACUUGAAUUUUAUAUAUCGAACUCCUUUCUCCCGCUAUAGCAUAUAGUCUUGUACUUUUUUUACUUUAUAUAGUAAUAGUUUUUGUGAAAUAUAAUUAAUUAUUAUGAAUUUUUUAGUUGUUAAUUUUUAUAUGAUCUCUUUCAAGAAAAUCCUCUAACUCUACCCCCUGUAAAAGACUUUAAAUUAUUUUCUUAACUAUAUUCCAACUCUUCUUUUCAAUAUAACGUGAUCAAUCAGUGAUGUCCAGUUCUAGUCAACAGUUUAAAUUUUUAAAGAAUACAAAAUAGAUAUUAAAAGGAUUCUCGUAUAUUGUUAAUUAUUAUUACGUAGGAGUGAGUUGUAGAAAGGUCGUUUGAUUGGUUAGCCUUAGAUGCUCUUACAAGCCAGUUCUCUGGAGUAGUAUAAAUCCCCUAGUACUAAUCACAAAAAUAAAAUGAUUAGAAGAAACAUGACAUUACCGAUCUUCUUAUUUAUAAAACCAAAAUAUAGCAGUAAUUAAUUAAUGUUCUAGUCAUAUUGUGUUUAUGUGAAAAUUCAAAUUGAACUUCUAGGAAACUGCUAUGCUAUAUGGAUCUUGAUUCAGUUUAUUUAGUAACCAAAAAAGAAAACAAAACUUUGACACAGUCAGGGCGUUUGGAAGUUUUCGCCAUUUCAUCACUACAAACAACUGACUAGGAAAUUAUAAAAUACGCAGUAACUUGGAAAAUGAAAACUAAUUCAACUCAUGUAUAGUCAUAUAUUAAUUCCCCUGUUGUUUUUGACAUGCAUGUCAUGAUAUAUAUAUAUAGCCUUGCCCGCGGUUCUUACCUUCACUGUACAUGUUAAUUAAUUCUUUCAUCUUUGAGAUUUCAAUAGAGGCAAAUUACCUCAGAAAGAAGAAACUUAAAGAUGAACUAUAUCUUGCAAUUUGUCCAUCUUCACUAGUUUUGAUGUCGCAAUAUGUCUACAAAAAUGAAGCCUACCACUAAAAAUUUUAAUGUUCUCCCUAUUUUCUUGGGGUCAUUAUUCUGUCUCUUUUUGGCAGGUUUGGAUGCUGAAAGUGACGUCUAUUGCUUGCAAACCAUCAAGAAAUUGGAUCAGUUUAAUCACUUAUCUAGCUGGGAUUUCAAGAGCAACACUGAAGGUGACAUGUGUAGAUUUAGCGGUGUUGAAUGCUGGAAUAACGUGAAAGUAAUCGGUCUCAGUCUUUCUAACAAGGGGCUGAAGGGCCAGUUUCCUAGUUGCGUUGAAAAUUUCGCAUGGUUGCAGACUCUGAACCUCUCACACAACGAGCUUUCUGGAUAUAUCCUUUCUGAUAUCUCAACUAGUCAGUUGACAUAUCUGACCUCACUCGAUCUCUCAAAUAACAAUUUCUAUGGUGAAAUUCCAAAGGGUAUUGCCGAUUUGUCAGGCUUAAUUACCCUAAGACUUGAUAGCAACCAGUUAAGUGGCCAAAUCCCACAAGAACUUGGGUUGCUUUCCCAGCUUAUAGAUUUUAGUGUUGCUAACAACUUGUUAGAAGGGCCAGUGCCUGUUUUUGUCAGCAAUGUUAAUGUGAGUUUGAGCUAUGCAAAUAAUAGUGGACUCUGUGGGGGAGCACUAGGAAGCUGUGACGAAAGCUUGUUUGGUAGAACGUUUUGGUAUAGUUUUAUUAUUGGUUUUGUUUCUUCAGCAACUUCUGUCCUAGUAUCUUUCAUGGUCUACUAUGCCCCUUGGACAGAAUUCAAAAAGAGGAGGAGUAACGCUAUUCAUCCCUUAAUGAAGAAGCAGAACCUUCAAAAGAACACUAGACAAGAAGCUGAAUUGCUACCACUAGCCAUGCAAGAGCAAGGAAGCAAAGAGGUACUCUCUCUUUCUCUCUCUCUCUCUGUUUCUCUAUUGAUCAGUUGUGAGCACAUGAUAUUUGAGAUCAAACACUGAUAUCAUUACUUUAAGGUCACGUCACGUAUUUAUUUUCAAAUUUUUAUGUCCAUGAUAUAUCAAGAUUGUGACAUAUAUUUCAUCUAAGCUACCAAGAUUGUUGGAGAGAUUGAUUCCUAAUUAUGAAAAUCUAAUGUAAUCUCUGUUUGUACAUCAUAUAUUAAGGUCAUAUAUGCUACAUAUUUAAUUAUUUUCAAAUUUUACUGUCCAUGAAAUGCCAAGAUUGUGACAUUUCAUCUAAGCUAUCAAGAUUGUUGGAGAGAUUGAUUCCUAGAAUGAGCUUCAAGGAAUUAUGCAAGGCAACCGAUUACUUUAGCACAGAUAACGUUUUAGGGAUAGGAACGACAGGGAUUAUGUACAAGGCAAAGGUACCAAAUAACUGUUUUCUAGCAGUUAAGAGACUAUAUGGCGCUGAUGAAUACAAGAGGGAAUUCUUGCUUGAAACAAUGAUUCUGGGGAGACACAGGCACAGAAACAUAGCUCCAUUGGUAGGAUUCUGCAUAGAAAAAAGAGAAAGGAUUUUGGUGUAUAAGUACAUGUCUAAUGGAAGACUCAGUGAUUGGUUCCAUUCUGAUGAAGGAGAUCAAAAAAUAAAACUAGAAUGGCCAGAGAGAAUUCACAUUGCACUUGGGAUUGCAAGAGGUUUAUCUUGGCUCCACAAAAGGUGCAAGAUAUUCCAUCUUAAUUUAGAUUCAGAGUGUGCACCUCUUUGUUUGUGAGUAUACCCUCUGUGGUUGCUGUUAUGUCCAUACUGUCCCCACCUGAAGCUUCUCUGUUCAUAACAAUGAAAUUGUUUUUGAUUGAUGGACAUGGGGUGAAGGGUUCUGUUGAGAAGGAUGUCUAUGACUUUGGAAUAAUCCUUUUUGAACUUAUAACAGGGAAAAGAUUAAGUUCAACGACUGAUUCUUCUGACAGUGUUAAUGGUCAGUUGAUGAACUAUAUCAGCAAUAACUUGUUCACUGAUCCUGCAGAUUUUUAUGAUACCAUUGACGAAUCUAUCAUAGGGAAGGGUUUUGACGAUAAAAUCCUUGGUCUCCUCAAAGUUGCAUGUGACUGUGUUAAAGGAUCUUUAAAGCAAAGGCCAAAGAUGGUUGAUAUGCACAAAACUAUAAGAGCCAUGUGGGAAGGCUAUAAACCUUGGUUUGAUUCUGAAAGGCUGAAACUCUCUCUGGGUUGUUCUGACCAUAUAACAUGCAUCAGCGAAAUAGAAUGUAUUUGUUGAAACGUAAGACCUGUUUUGUAUGUGUGUAGUGUAGGUUCCGCACUUCCGCUUAUCAGACACUUUAGGACAAUGAAUGUCUGUUUAUUUAUAUACAACACUGUCAAGUUAAAGCUUUGUAAUUUUAUGAUUCAAAUUGAGCAAAAUAAGGAAUCAUUUAACGAGGACGAGGACUUCUAAUAAUAAUAUAUUAGACUUUGUUUUUGAAGUUAUUGCCCAACUAAAACAGUUUAUCCUACUAUUUUGAAAUUAAAACAUAUUAAUAUGGGUAGACUUUGUUUCCUCGUCAUAUCUAAUAAGGGAAUCAAUUUUAAUAUAUCCUUGCUUUGUGGUACAGCUGCUUGGAGGCCCUCUUCUUACACAACAUUAAUAAUUGGCAUGACUCUUGCUGUCUCAGCGGCCCUUUUCAUGCUUUUCUAACUCUGGCCGCUAUUUUAUAAUUUCUUUUAGAAUGUCAAGAAUGUGCAACUGGUGCCAUUACUUCUUCUGUGGGAUUUGGUUUUUUUGACAGAUGUUUUAGGAGUAUUUGUGUUGCUAAACUUUUCUCUUAUUUUGUUUUCCUUGUUAUUUAUUUACUUGAUUGUCUUUAUUUGAGGGCUUUGUGAUUAUUAUUGGGACGUCCAUAUAUCUGAUUAAGGAAAAAAUCGACCACUCAACUUCAUGGCUUUUAUGGUAAUUAUGGGGAAGGUUUCCUGUUGUACAUUUUCAGCUGCAUUUCAAUUAUCUUAAACUUCUAUGCAAUUGUUUAUGAACAAAAAGUGUUUAUCGUCAACCAUAAUUAAUUAGACGGCCGGUAAUGUUUAUAAUAUUUUGUUUAAAGUAUUGUUGUAACCCAGUUUAGUCAUUGACGCGAUGGAGAUAGUGAGUUAAUGGAUUAGUGAUUCAAUCGGUGAACUAGUAAUUGAUCCGGUUUGACUUGAUAUAUAUUAAAAAUUUAAAAUUAUAUAUAUAUAUAAUAGAAAAGUCUAUUUAUACUUCAAAAUUCAAAAUAACAAUUUGAUAAUAAUGAAACAUCAAAGCAACAUGCGGUUUGAUAGGAGCAUUCCAAAUCAAUUGCAUAACUGAUCCAAUAAUAAAACUGGCCUGAUUAGACCAUCAGAUCUCAAUUAGACUGAUUCGACCGAUCGGACUAAAUCGAGUUUCACAACUAUGAUUUAAUCACUAUCAAUAUUGAUUUGUCAUCUUAGAUGCAAAUAGAAGUUGGCCAUUAGGCCAAUGAGUGCAGAAAUAUACAGAUUCCAUUCUGUUGGCUCCUCCAAUCUUUUUUCCACUUUAGCAUAUGUAUCAGGGCAAAAGUGAAGAAGCAAAUUGUUCAAAUUUCAUUCAGCAAUCUAUUCAAACAAAAUAAGAAAAGCACCACUAAUAGUGUCUAACUUUCUAUUAAAGUCGUAAGUACGAAUAAUUCUAAAAUCAUGUCGUACCCCUCUAGUAUUCGCUGGGUGCAUACCAAGUACAUACCAAAUAUACAUUUUUUAUAAAAAAAUUGGAUACUUCGCUUGGAUACUUUUUAGGUACAUAUCAAGUUCGUACUAAGUCUAUAGGUUACAAAAAAAACUAAAGCGAUAUUUCUUUAUCCAUUCUAUGGAAAAAAAGUAUGCUUAAUCCAAAUAGACAUCAAAAUUUAGUUCUUAUACAUACAAAUCUUCAUCUCCUCUAAAACUCUUAAAAAAAAGAAUUAGAGUUUUAAAGAUAUUUACAUUCUUAAAUUCAAAUUAUUGUUCUUUCUUUUGACAAACCAGUUUUAUAGACGAUUUUUUUGAGUGAUGAUGAACAAUCAAAUGAUAAGAUAGAAACUAUUUUUUUACUAGAUUGAAACUAUUAAAAUAUGAUAUAAUAUGAAUAGUUUUUUAUUACGAGAUUUUUUUUUUCAUAUUGAAUAAUUUAUUUUCCUUUAUAUUGUAAAGUAUACUUUUUUUGUUUUUUUUACGACUUACAAGAUUUAGUCAUACAAACUAAAUUCUAUUUUUAUAUGCAUACGUAUUAUUUUGAAAUAUAUAUUAACAUAUAUGUAUCUUGGAAAGUUCCCCUUCCUGUUAUCUCCACUUCUAGAAUCAGUCUUGAUGCUCCAAGCAACAUGAACCAUGGUGAGUUAUGAACUAAAUGCUUUGCAUAAAAAAUAGCAAGUAUUCUGCCCUGGCUGGUGCAGCAUUAGUUAAAAACACAUAAAAGUGGUUGUUGCUUCCUACACCUCCAAGUUAACAACAGCUCAUAGAAGUAUACAGAGAAGCCCAAUCCAAUAGUAUGACCAAUUCAUCUACUUUUGGGCUCCAAAAAUAUAUGGACUUCAAAUCGGGUAUGAGUUUGACAAUAGUUUUUUUGGUAGGUAGGAGUUUGACAGUAUAAUAUUGUUAUUAUCUCCAAUCUGUAAUAUAUAUGCUCUUUUCAAAUCGAGUUAUUUUAAGUUGCAACAGCGCAGAAUAAAUCGUUAAAAUGACCAGCUAUCGUUCCAAUUAAUUAAAAAGCAAUGCUAAGUUCUCCUACUAUAUUCUCUUAUAAAUCUUUUUAUUAUUUGUCAAAAAAUAUUUAAUAACUACAACGCUCAAAUUCAAACAAAUUUAUUUAUUCAGUUGACAAAUUAUAUAUGAAAGUCAGAUUAGGUGAUUUGAAAAAAAAUUAAUCCAACCCAACUCAUUUUAGAGGGUUAAAUGGAUUGAUCGAUCAAAUUCAAUCAAUUUUAACAUUUCUAAUCCAGUUAUGAUAGAGUUAAGAAUGAUUUUUAAUUAGAUCUUUUUCUCAAUAUAAAAAAAAUAAAAAAUAAGAAUUAUGAACUUUGUCAUCCGAUAAAAACACACAUGCUAAAAUUUUACUAGUGGUUUAUAUGAUUUCCUUAAUAUAACAUACACAUGCUAAAAUUGAUAGUGGUCAUUUAAAAAAUAUUAAAGACUUUUAAAAUUUCCAAAAACAACAAAGAACAAAGAAAAAGUCAUCCAUCUCACUUUUCCGUCAAAGAUGAUUGUCCGUAUUCCUCCGCAUGCAUGUCACCACCUUCCAUUCUAUUCCAUUCCAUGUUAAAAAAAAAAACCUAUAAAUACCUAAGACGAGCUCCAACCUUUUUCAUCAAAAACCUUUCCUUUUAGUAUCAAUUUCUAUAUAGCUAAAGAAAGUGAUACUAUUAAGCAUAAUUAAUAUAAUGGGGUACAUGUGCAUUAAGAUUUCGUUUUGUGUGAUGUGUGUGUUGGGGUUGGUGAUCGUGGGUGAUGUUGCCUACGCUCAAGAUUCAGCAGAAGACUACGUGAAUGCACACAAUGCAGCACGAGCAGAGGUGGGUUCUCAAUCACCAAGACAAACAGUGAUUGUUCCAAGUUUGGCUUGGGAUGAUACGGUUGCUGCUUAUGCAGAGAGCUAUGCUAAUCAACGCAAAGGUGACUGCCAACUGAUCCACUCUGGUGGUGAAUACGGAGAGAAUAUUGCAAUGAGCACUGGUGAACUAAGUGGCACAGAUGCAGUGAAAAUGUGGGUUGAUGAGAAAUCCAACUAUGACUAUGAUUCUAACUCUUGUGUUGGAGGAGAGUGCCUGCACUACACACAGGUCGUUUGGGCUAACUCGGUGCGUCUUGGAUGUGCCAAAGUGACAUGUGAUAACGGAGGCACUUUCAUCACUUGCAACUAUGAUCCCCCUGGCAACUUUGUUGGUGAAAGACCCUACAAACUGUAGCUGCUAUCUACCACUUUACAUAUUAUGAAUAACCAUGCAACAAUAAUAACACCACCAAUUUAGGUGAUCCUACACUUCAAAUUCAUGCAUGUUAUAAUAUAUAUACGUAUUAAUACUCAAUAAAAAUAAAGGAUGUUCCCUGUGUGUUUUUACCGGGUGACUAAGUACAUUAUUCUUAUUUUUUAAUUUUUUUAUAUUGAAAAAAAGAUUUAAUUAAAGAUUAUUCUUAACUCGAU